GAUGAAGAACGUAGUGAAAUGCGAUACGUAAUGUGAAUUGCAGAAUUCAGUGAAUCAUCGAGUCUUUGAACGCACAUUGCGCCCUCUGGUAUUCCGGGGGGCAUGCCUGUCCGAGCGUCAUUUCAACCCUCAAGCCCCCGGGUUUGGUGUUGGGGAUCGGCUCUGCCCUUCUGGGCGGUGCCGCCCCCGAAAUACAUUGGCGGUCUCGCUGCAGCCUCCAUUGCGUAGUAGCUAACACCUCGCAACUGGAACGCGGCGCGGCCAUGCCGUAAAACCCCAACUUCUGAAUGUUGACCUCGGAUCAGGUAGGAAUACCCGCUGAACUUAAGCAUAUCAAUAAGCGGAGGA
rnacentral:misc_RNA from 1 species